AAAAACAACGACUUACACGAAGUUCUGUCGACCAUGAAGAACCUUCUGCAAGUACUCAUGUUCCGACUGCAACUUCGACUCCAAGUACUUCAACUCCUCAAAUUCCAACUCCAACUCCUCAAGGUUCGAGUACUCCAACUCCAACUCCAAAUCAAAUUACAACUCCAACUCCUCAAGGUACGAGUACUUCAACUACUCAAGUACCAACAGCAAUGAGUGAAUCUAAUUCCGACUCCGACUCGGACCUCAGAGAUAAUGAUGGUAACUAACUAAUUAUAAUCGAUGUGUAUAUUAUAUAAUUGAUUGAUUUAUGUGUAUUUAUUGACUCAUUAUUUUUUAUUUUAGAAUUGAGUCUACCAAACAGAAGAGGUAGAAACUUAGAUCAUCCGGAAGAUCACCCCAAACAAGGUGAAAGAUAUAAAAUAGAAUGGGAGNNNNN
rnacentral:lncRNA from 1 species